ACAGACUCAGACUGGAGGACUGCAGAAAGGAGCUCAGUUCACUGCUGCUGGAGGAGAGGUUAGCUGGUGCAACGCUGCUAGUGUUUGCCAACAAACAGGACUUACCAGGAGCCCUGUCAAAAGAGGCAAUACAAGAGGCUCUGGCCCUGGAUGACAUCAAAAGCCAUCUGGUGCAUCAUUGGUAG